rnacentral:tRNA from 1 species
CUCCCCGUACCUCAGCUGGAGAGAGGGCCCGGUCGCGAGCCGGGACGUCGGACGUUCGAGUCGUCCUGGGGAGACCA